rnacentral:ncRNA from 1 species
AUACAAGCGAUGAAGAGAAGAGUACGCGGAAAGAGAGCCAAAGAGAGUCCCGAAUGGUGAGAAGGGACGCCGGACAUCCGCCGAACAUGGCCUUGGAGCAUGCGCCGCCGAAUGAUGAAGUGGCCCGGGAGUUCCCGUUACAGGACAGGAGUGCCUUGCACUUCACAAGGUCUUUCCGGCGACGGAAAGGCGAACAUGGGUGGUACCACGAAACAGAAUCCUUCGUCCCGUCG